rnacentral:rRNA from 1 species
GAUCCUGGCUCAGGACGAACGCUGGCGGCGUGCUUAACACAUGCAAGUCGAACGAGAAUCUGUGGAUCGAGGAUUCGUCCAAGUGAAGCAGAGGACAGUGGCGGACGGGUGAGUAACGCGUGAGGAACCUGCCUUUCAGAGGGGGACAACAGUUGGAAACGACUGCUAAUACCGCAUGAUACAUUUGGGUGGCAUCAUCUGAAUGUCAAAGAUUUAUCGCUGAAAGAUCGG